GCCCGGGUGGUGUAGCCCGGCCUAUCAUGCGGGCCUGUCGCGGGUGUUGUGUUCGGCAGCAUCCGCAGAAAGCCCGCGACUCGGGUUCAAAUCCCGACCCGGGCG
rnacentral:tRNA from 1 species